GGAGGCGUGCCAGAGCGGCCGAAUGGGGCUCCCUGCUAAGGAGUUGCCUGUCUUGCGACGGGCCGGAGGUUCGAAUCCUCUCGCCUCCGCCA
rnacentral:tRNA from 41 species